rnacentral:rRNA from 1 species
GACAGAGGGUGCAAACGUUGUUCGGAAUUACUGGGCGUAAGCGAGUGUAGGCGGUCCGAUAAGUCGGGUGUGAAAGCCCUGGGCUCAACCCAGGAAGUGCACUCGAAACUGACGGGCUAGAGUAUCGGAGAGGUUGGUGGAAUUCUCGGUGUAGAGGUGAAAUCGUAGAUAUCGAGAGGAACACCGUGCGAGGCGGCCAACUGGAACGAUACUGCGCGAGACUCGAAAGCUGGGAGCAACAGGAUAG